rnacentral:lncRNA from 1 species
CACACAUUGCUGGCUCGAUAAAGUGUUUUGCUCUAUAAAUGUAAUUUGUGAUUCAAAACAUUUCAUUAGCCCUUACUGUAUACUAGGAACUGAGCUAAACAUUCAGAAUAAAGACAAUAAAGAUGAACUGAUAUUUUACCAUAUUAUAUUUUUCUUCAGCAUCAACAUACUAUAUAUUCAUGGUAAAAAUUUUGAAGUUUAAAAAUAAGUACAUAAGCAGGAGGUGGGGAAACUCACAUAAUCCCAUCACCCAGAGGCGACCUGUGUAAUACCAGUGAAGUCUAAAGAGUAGUACCAAGAAUGACCCUGAGUCCUGCGUCUGAGGCUGGUUUGAGAAGGUUCCAGAGCUUGGGCAGCCUUACAAGCAGCAGCACAGAAGGCCCUGGAGAUGCCAGGGGUUGAAGCAGCCAAUUGGUACAUGCUGCUGUAUUUUCAGCCAGCGUUAGCGUGACCAGCUGUCCUUCUUUGCCCAGUGUUUGGACAUAGGACUUGAAGUGCCCAGUGUUAGCACCUCCUGGGGAACCCCUCAGUCCCCAGCAACUCAGGACAGACAGUUGGUGACCCUAAGCAGAUGUUUCUUCCUGUUAUGAAGAAAAAAGGUCUGAGGACUUCGGACGGCUGCGAUGUGAUAGAAGUAAUGCUGGAGUCAGAAGUCCUGAGUCCAAGCCAAGGUCUGCCACUUACUAGGGGCACAAAUGUCAGCAUCCACCCACUUCUGGCUAAGAGAGCCACAGAAACAGAGGCAGAUUAAAAGGAUAUUGAAUAAGAUGAAGCUUAAUCUUCUCAUCUGAAGAACAAAACUAAUAUUUUACAAACAAGGUGGAAGCGUUGUGAGCCAUCUGGGCCCCUCAAACAUGGACUUUGGUAAAAGCCUGAGCUGGCCCUGGGCAAGUAGUGCACGAGGUGCCAGAGGCUAAGUGGAGCCGUCUGCAGCUUUGAACGAAGCUUGGCCAGGAGGAUGCUCUGGCCAACACAAUUGACUUCCUGGUCUCUGCAUCGAGAUAAAGCCAUCCUCAAGGAAGAAUGCCAAAAAUAGGACAUCUUAGAAUACAAAGGAAACAAACAUUGUUUUUUCCUGACAUUGAUCCUCUUGACGUGCGACGCCAAAAGAUAACUUAGCCCCCUUAAGAGAACAUCUCCCUCCCAAUAGAAAGAAGGGGGAAAAAAUGCAGUUCCAUCUGUGAGCCAUCUGAUUUUCAGACUGAACAAUUUCUGAGGCUCAGAGGCAGCUUUUUGACCAUGGUCAAAAGCUACCAAGCCGCUGGAUUUCAGGCAUCAGCACAUUUUCCGGUGUCUCCAAACACCUCCAAGGCAGCUUUUCGUGUCAGUAAUUUACAACCAAUAACUAAGCUCUUACUUAUUAUUCUUUUCCUGUGUCUUUGCUUAGCAGUGAAAACUGUGUGUCUAGUUGUUUAUUUCACCUGCCCAGACCUGAUGGAGGGUGAAAUAAAAGCAAACAGGCAGACUCAACCAGUGGAUGAGCAGAUUUGUGAUCUGGCCCGGAAAAUGUCCAUUCUGAAGACAAAGUCCCAGCAUAAGGGAUGAAAAGUGCUAUGGUGGGUUGCUGCAUGUUUGUUGCCUCAUGCUUUGUCCAGGAUUCUCUUCUUUCCCUUUGGUCUGGAAGUUGCUUUUUGCAGGCAUCUUACAAGUAGAAAGAAUGGUCUUCCAGGAGCUCCCUCCUAAUGCUCUAAGGAUUUGAUUUCUUGCUCUCAGACAGUCAUUUUCAUGCACAUUUUGCAAAACAUGGAAAUAGAUGCAUCGGUCUGCUUCUGGAAGUGCUGCCCCUUGGGAGGGAGCUGGGAGGGACCUUCAGUCCUGUUCUCAGCAUGGACUUUAGUUACAUGCCUACAUCUGUGGAACGCGUAUCUAUGACCCUCUUGUCUGUGUCCAGGCAGCUGGCCAAGAGGGAGAGAGACUAAAGGACAAAAAAGAGGGAG